rnacentral:rRNA from 1 species
UACGGGGGGGGGCGAGCGUUGUCCGAAGUUACUGGGCGUAAAGCGCGUGUAGGCGGGUUGUUAAGUCCGCUGUGAAAGCCCGGUGCUCAACGCCGGAGGGUCGGUGGAUACUGGCAGUCUUGAAGUGGCUAGGGGGAAAUGGAAUUACCGGUGUAGCGGUGAAAUGCGUAGAUAUCGGUAGGAACACCAGUGGCGAAGGCGGUUUCCUGGAGCUAACUUGACGCUGAGACGCGAAAGCUGGGGGAGCAACGGG